GGGGGUAGAUGGGCCCUGGUGGGCCUCCUGGUCUUCAAAACCAGUGUCGGGCAGCGAUCCUGUCCGGGGUGGGUUCAAUCCCCACAUACCCCCGCCA
rnacentral:tRNA from 1 species